GUCCAGGGGCGGGAAUCGAACCCACACCCUUCUGCUUACCGGGCAGGUGCCUGGUCCACUCGGCUACCCUGGA